GACGAACGCUGGCGGCGUGCUUAACACAUGCAAGUCGAACGAAGUGGCGCACGGGUGAGUAACGCGUAAUAAACCUGCCCUUCAGAGGGGGAACACAGUUGGAAACGACUGCUAAUACCGCAUACUGACGGUGGGGAUUGCGUCUGAUAAGCUGGUUGGGGGGGUAACGGCCCACCAAGGCGAUGAUCAGUAGCCGGUCUGAGGUGAUGAACGGCCCAAUUGGGACUGAGACACGGACCAGAAUCCUACGGGAGGCAGCAGUGGGGAAACUUCCGCAAUGGACGAAAGGCUUACGGAGCAACGCCGCGGGAGUGAUGACGGCCUUCGGGUUGUAAAGCUCUGUUAAUCGGGACGCGGUACCGGAAUAGAAAGCCACGGCUAACUACGUGCCAGCAGCCGCGGUAAUUC
rnacentral:rRNA from 1 species